UGAUGAGAUUUAAAUGUUGGUAGUUUUA
rnacentral:sRNA from 1 species